rnacentral:snRNA from 2 species
GCUCUCACUUCGGCAGCACAUAUACUAAAACUGGAAUGAUGCAAAGAAGAUUAGCAUGGCCCCUGCUCAAGGAUAACAUGCAAAUUCGUGAAGCGUUCCAUAUUUUU